ACAGGAAGUUUUGGGACCCCCAGACUGGGUUCAUUUGUGUGGUGCUCAGGUCGUCGGUGGUCUUUUCUCCCUGUGCUUUUUUGGGUUCGCGUCUUGUGACCCACUUGUGGGUUUGUGUGACGCAGACGAGGGUAGGUGGCCCCUCAGAAACACCGCGGCGACCCGCUCGAGGGGGAAACGUGGGAGCCGGGCGAGUCGAGGGUUUGUGGCCUUCUCACCCGCCCGCCGCGCAGGGUCCCCAGGCGUUCCCCCCUCCGCCUUCCCCGGGCCGGGGACGAACCAGGGAUUUGGAAGGUGGACCGGCGGGGAGCGCAGCAUUUAUGACGUUUGUUGUCUCCACUGGCUGCUUCUGGAUAAGUGACACCUCCCCGUUUUGGAAGAGCGGCCCCCCAUGCGACCAGUACCGGUGUUUGGGGUUCAUCUGAAGCAAAGGGCUCCUCGAUUUCCCUUAAGUAUUUUCAGAAAAUGAGUGACUUCUCAGUGGAUAAAUCAGAAGGACGUUUUUCAAAGCUUAUUUCAACCCUCUGGUCAUCAACAUAGUUGACGCCUUGACUGUGGACACUAACGCUUUUCAUCUGCUCCAUCACUCUCCCGUAAUUCUUCCUGCCUGUGUGAAUUCCUGCUCAUUCUGGUCUGCUGUUGGAGUUACCCCUGGGAGAUUUCAUCCAUUUUCCGUGGCUUCAGUUACCGUCUGUAGGUGGGAAACUUCAGGGUACAGUUAGCCCUCUAUCUCUGGGUUCUGCACUUGGAGAGUCAACUAGCCUCAGGUGGAGGGUACUCUGCUCCACUCUCUGCUGAUGGAACAGCACAGUCUUUGCAGAAGGCGAAGUACAGCUUCAGACACAGCGUCAGAAAACUCUUAUAGGAAAAACUUCAGUUAUGUUGCUUUCAGUUUACUGCCUGUUAAAUUUUUGCUUAAUAGAUCAUGAUCUUUGUGAAUUAAAUGAAUGCCCCU
ensembl:lncRNA